GAUGAACGCUGGCGGCGUGCCUAAUACAUGCAAGUCGAGCGAACGGACGAGAAGCUUGCUUCUCUGAUGUUAGCGGCGGACGGGUGAGUGACACGUGGAUAACCUACCUAUAAGACUGGGAUAACUUCGGGAAACCGGAGCUAAUACCGGAUGAUAUUUUGAACCGCAUGGUUCAAAAGUGAAAGACGGUCUUGCUGUCACUUAUAGAUGGAUCCGCGCUGCAUUAGCUAGUUGGUAAGGUAACGGCUUACCAAGGCAACGAUGCAUAGCCGACCUGAGAGGGUGAUCGGCCACACUGGAACUGAGACACGGUCCAGACUCCUACGGGAGGCAGCAGUAGGGAAUCUUCCGCAAUGGGCGAAGGCCUGACGGAGCAACGCCGCGUGAGUGAUGAAGGUCUUCGGAUCGUAAAACUCUGUUAUUAGGGAAGAACAUAUGUGUAAGUAACUGUGCACAUCUUGACGGUACCUAAUCAGAAAGCCACGGCUAACUACGU
rnacentral:rRNA from 1 species